AAUUCUAAACUAAACUACUCUUUG
rnacentral:tRNA from 2 species